AAAGGAAUAGACGGGGACCCGCACAAGCAGCGGAGCAUGUGGUUUAAUUCGAAGCAACGCGAAGAACCUUACCAAGGCUUGACAUCCCUCGCAAUGGGUAGAAAUAUCCAGUUCCUUCGGGACGAGGAGACAGGUGGUGCAUGGUUGUCGUCAGCUCGUGUCGUGAGAUGUUGGGUUAAGUCCCGCAACGAGCGCAACCCCUGUGAAUAGUUGCCAAUAUUCAGUUAGGAACUCUAUUCAGACUGCCGUGGGUAACACGGAGGAAGGUGGGGACGACGUCAAAUCAUCAUGCCCCUUAUGUCUUGGGCUACACACGUGCUACAAUGGCCGUAACAGAGGGCAGCGAAGCCGCAAGGUGGAGCAAAUCUCACAAAUACGGUCUCAGUUCAGAUUGUGGGCUGCAACUCGCCCGCAUGAAGACGGAGUUGCUAGUAAUCGCGAAUCAGCAUGUCGCGGUGAAUGCGUUCCCGGGUCUUGUACACACCGCCCGU
rnacentral:rRNA from 1 species